UACGUAGGGUGCGAGCGUUAAUCGGAAUUACUGGGCGUAAAGCGUGCGCAGGCGGUUUUGUAAGCCAGAUGUGAAAUCCCCGGGCUUAACCUGGGAAUGGCAUUUGGGACUGCAAGGCUUGAGUGCGGCAGAGGAGACUGGAAUUCCUGGUGUAGCAGUGAAAUGCGUAGAUAUCAGGAGGAACACCGAUGGCGAAGGCAGGUCUCUGGGACGUGACUGACGCUGAGACGCGAAAGCGUGGGGAGCAAACAGG
rnacentral:rRNA from 1 species